rnacentral:rRNA from 1 species
UACGGAGGGUGCAAGCGUUGUCCGGAAUCACUGGGCGUAAAGGGCGCGUAGGCGGCUCAUGAAGGCUGUGGUGAAAGUCCGGGGCUCAACCUCGGAUCGGCCGUGGCGACUCGUGGGCUGGAGCACUGUAGAGGCGGGUGGAAUUCCGGGUGUAGCGGUGGAAUGCGUAGAUAUCUGGAGGAACACCGGUGGCGAAGGCGGCGUUCUGGACUGCAACUGACACUGAUGAACGAAAGCCAGGGGAGCAAACGGG